rnacentral:siRNA from 1 species
GGAGACUUUUAGUUGUCUGC